rnacentral:rRNA from 1 species
UAACGCGUGAGUAACCUGCCCUGGAGUGGGGAAUAACAGCUGGAAACAGCUGCUAAUACCGCAUAAUGCAGUUGGGUCGCAUGGCUCUGACUGCCAAAGAUUUAUCGCUCUGGGAUGGACUCGCGUCUGAUUAGCUAGUUGGUGGGGUAACGGCCCACCAAGGCGACGAUCAGUAGCCGGACUGAGAGGUUGGCCGGCCACAUUGGGACUGAGACACGGCCCAGACUCCUACGGAAGGCAGCAG